GACGAACGUUGGCGGCGUGCUUAAUACAUGCAAGUCAACUGAAGCAGUGGUAGCAAUAUCGCUGUGGAGGUGGCGCACGGGUGAGUAACACGUAGGUAAUCUGCCUUCAGGUCUGGCAUAACUCCGGGAAACCGGGGCUAGUAGCAGAUGAUGCAGCGGCUCGACAUCGAGACAGUUGUUAAAGCUAUGGCGCCUGAAGAUGAGCCUGCGUCUGAUUAGCUAGUUGGCGGGGUAACGGCCCACCAAGGCAACGAUCAGUAGCUGGUCUGAGAGGAUGAUCAGCCACACUGGAACUGAGACACGGUCCAGACUCCUACGGGAGGCAGCAGUAAGGAAUAUUGCUCAAUGGGAGACAUCCUGAAGCAGCAACGCCGCGUGAGGGACGAAGGGCUUUUGCUUGUAAACCUCUGUAGUAAGAGAAAAAAAUCCCAAUCUUUGGGACAUGAUGGUAUCUCAAAAGUAAGCCCCGGCCAACUACGUG
rnacentral:rRNA from 1 species